ensembl:lncRNA
GGCUCAGGCCCGCGCCGUUGGCUGCCAGGACGCACACGCGGUAGGCGGUGGCCGGCGACAGCCCGUGCAGGACGUGCUGGCGCGCCGUGGCGCAGACGUCCCUCACCACCGACUGGUUCCCCGGCCGGCCCUCGGGCGAGGAGCGGAUCUGAUAGGCGCGCACCACCGAAUUGGGAGCGCACCAGCGCACAAGCACCGACGUGUUGAGGAGAAGGUGAUGUGCUCCGCAGGCUGGAGGCGCGUGGAUGGAGUAGACCGAGGAGCGUGGGUUGGAAUCAAGGAGAGAGGUGUGUUGGUCCGAAUGGCACACACUUGGCAGCUGGGAGAGCAAAAGAGGGACUGAGAAUGUGCCACUGGAUCCUGCAGCUGGAGAGUUCUGUAGGCCUACUGGCCUUGGAUUAAACAACCCAGGAGGCCAGGCUCCGUUUGGGGAACUCAGAGGGGCCCUGAUGGUUAAGAGCACAUUUUCGGAGGAAGAUAGAUCCUGCCUCCUCCACCCAGCGGCUUCAUGAAUCUAAAGCUAGACUACAUUUCCCAGACUCCCUUUGCAGCAGGCGUGGCCUGCUACUUGACAUUUGGCCAAUGGGAUGUGAGCGAAAGUGAUGAGCACCACCUCCUGGCCCAGCCCAUUUAAAUCUCCUCAGUCAGCUCCUCCGCCCUCUCUGCUCCUCUCGCUGGCUCACUGGUUGGCUGGCUGGCCGGGAGGGAGACAGAGCCUCGGACUCCUGGGUCUCAUCGCUGAGGGUGACUACAUGGAGGACGGCGAUCCCACUCAACACUAUCACCCUGCCCUGCCUUGAUUACAGGAGCAAGAAAUGAGCUGACAGUCCUCUUUGCAUCCAUGAAGAGCCAGGACAACUCGCAGCUGCAAGUGAGGGGGUUGCCAAAGAGGUUGAUGAACAGGACGUGGGAGGAAUGCAGGUUCCAAGGAGGGAAGGAACUCAAGUUGCAGCUGAAAGACACAACAAUCACUACAGAGAUACCAACUGCAGAGAUUCAAUAUCACCCCUCCUAACACACGGGGACCAUCUUCCCUGCUGGUUGUAUCAAAAAGAGUCUGUGAAGAUGAAGAUGUUUAUAAAUGUAAACCUCUACACAAAAGUAAGAUAUCAUUUUUGCAGACAAGCCACAACAAAUGGCAGAAAUUCUCAAUUAAUGAGAACACUCUUUUGUGUGUACUAUUGCAGUUGGACUGCAGCUGACGGCACGCAACACCAGUCCUUUGGAAGAUGCCUCACUGAAGGGUAUCAGUUAGCUCUUGCUAACUUAGUUUAAAAUAAUAAAUAAUAAAUAUUCAUUCUUUUCAU